rnacentral:rRNA from 1 species
AUUGAACGCUGGCGGCAUGCCUUACACAUGCAAGUCGAACGGCAGCGGGGGAGAAGCUUGCUUUUCCUGCCGGCGAGCGGCGAACGGGUGAGUAAUACAUCGGAACGUGCCCUGUAGUGGGGGAUAACUAGUCGAAUGAUUAGCUAAUACCGCAUACGACCUGAGGGUGAAAGUGGGGGACCGCCAGGCCUCAUGCUAUAGGAGCGGCCGGUGUCCGGUUAGCUAGUUGGUGGGGUAAAGGCCUACCAAGGCGACGAUCAGUAGCUGGUCUGAGAGGACGAUCAGCCACACUGGGACUGAGACACGGCCCAGACUCCUACGGGAGGCAGCAGUGGGGAAUUUUGGACAAUGGGCGAAAGCCUGAUCCAGCAAUGCCGCGUGUGUGAAGAAGGCCUUCGGGUUGUAAAGCACUUUUGUCCGGAAAGAAAUGGCUCUGGUUAAUACCUGGGGUCGAUGACGGUACCGGAAGAAUAAGGACCGGCUAACUACGUGCCAGCAGCCGCCGUAA